rnacentral:rRNA from 1 species
GAUUGUAGGCUGCAACUCGCCUACAUGAAGCCGGAAUCGCUAGUAAUCGUGGAUCAGCAUGCCACGGUGAAUACGUUCCCGGGCCUUGUACACACCGCCCGUCACACCACGAGAGUUUGUAACACCCGAAGUCGGUAGGGUAACCUUUAUGGAGCCAGCCGCCGAAGGUGGGACAGAUAAUUGGGGUGAAGUCGUAACAAGGUAGCCGUAUCGGAAGGUGCGGCUGGAUCACCUCCUUU